rnacentral:rRNA from 1 species
UACCUGGUUGAUCCUGCCAGUAGUCAUAUGCUUGUCUCAAAGAUUAAGCCAUGCAUGUCUCAGUAUAAGCUUCUAUACGGCGAAACUGCGAAUGGCUCAUUAAAACAGUUAUAGUUUAUUUGAUGGUCAUUCAUUACAUGGAUAACCGUGGUAAUUCUAGAGCUAAUACAUGCGCCCAGACCCGACUUCGUGGAAGGGUUGUGUUUAUUAGAUACAGAACCAACCCAGGCUCUGCCUGGUAUUGUGGUGAUUCAUAAUAACCGAACGAAUCGCAUGGCAUCAGCUGGCGAUGAAUCAUUCAAGUUUCUGACCUAUCAGCUUCCGACGGUAGGGUAUUGGCCUACCGUUGCGUUGACGGGUAACGGAGAAUUAGGGUUCGAUUCCGGAGAGGGAGCCCGAGAAACGGCUACCACAUCUAAGGAAGGCAGCAGGCGCGCAAAUUACCAAAUCCUGACACAGGGAGGUAGUGACAAGAAAUAACAAAGCAAGCCAGUAUUCUGGUCUUGCUAUUGGAAUGAGUAGAAUUUAAAUCUCUUUACGAAUUCAAUUGGAGGGCAAGUCUGGUGCCAGCAGCCGCGGUAAUUCCAGCUCCAACAGCGUAUAUUAAAGUUGCUGCGGUUAAAAAGCUCGUAGUUGGAUUUCUGUCGAAGAUGGUCGGUCCGCUCUACGAGCGUGUAUCUGAUGCGCCUUUGGCAUCCUUGUGGAGAACGUAACUGUGAUUGACUGCAUGGCGCGGAAGUCACAACUUUUACUUUGAGGAAAUUAGAGUGUUCACGGCAGGCACGCGCCCUGAAUAUAUUAGCAUGGAAUAAUAAUGCAGGACUGUAGUUCUAUUUUGUUGGCUUCUAGGACUAGAGUAAUGAUUGAUAGGGAUAGCUGGGGGCACUUGUAUUAACGCGUCAGAGGUGAAAUUCUUGGAUUGCGCUACGACAAACUACUGCGAAGGCAUUUGUCAAGGAUGUUUUCAUUGAUCAAGAACGAAAGUAUGGGGAUCGAAGAUGAUUAGAUACCGUCGUAGUCUAUACCAUAAACUAUGCCAACUAGAGAUUGGAGGUCGCUAUUUUCCAUGGCUCCUUCAGCAUCUUAUGAGAAAUCAGAGUCUUUGGGGUUCCGGGGGGAGUAUGGUCGCAAGGCUGAAACUUAAAGGAAUUGACGGAAGGGCACCACCAGGAGUGGAGCCUGCGGCUUAAUUUGACUCAACACGGGAAAUCUCACCAGGUCCAGACAUAGUAAGGAUUGACAGAUUGAUAGCUUUUUCUUGAUUCUAUGGGUGGUGGUGCAUGGCCGUUCUUAGUUGGUGGAGUGAUUUGCCUGGUUAAUUCCGUUAACGAACGAGACCUUACCCUGCUAAAUAGCGAACUGCAUCUCCGGAUAUACACCCGCUUCUUAGAGGGACGUUGUGAUUUUAAGCACGAGGAAGUUUGAGGCAAUAACAGGUCUGUGAUGCCCUUAGAUGUUCUGGGCUGCACGCGCGCUACACUGAUGCGGUCAACGAGCCGAUUCCUUGCCCGGUUGGGCUGGGUAAUCUUUUGAAAACGCAUCGUGAUGGGGAUAGACUAUUGUAAUUUUUAAUCUUCAACGAGGAAUUCCUAGUAAGUGCGAGUCAUCAGCUCGCGCUGAUUACGUCCCUGCCCUUUGUACACACCGCCCGUCGCUCCUACCGAUUGAGUGGUCCGGUGAAUAAUUUGGACCGGUGCCUUAUUUGGUUCGCUGAAUUCGGGAAUCGGAAAAUCUAGUGAACCUUAUCACUUAGAGGAAGGAGAAGUCGUAACAAGGUUUCCGUAGGUGAACCUGCAGAAGGAUC